rnacentral:rRNA from 1 species
GACGAACGCUGGCGGCGUGCCUGACACAUGCAAGUCGGACGGUUCUUGUAUCUUCAAGCUUGCUUGCAGGUGCAAGGAUAGUGGCGCACGGGUGAGUAACGCGUGGGAAUGUGCCUCUGGGUGCGGAACAACGUCGGGAAACUGACGCUAAUACCGCAUAAUGUCUACGGACCAAAGAUUUAUCGCCCAGAGAUCAGCCCGCGUCUGAUUAGCUAGUUGGUGAGGUAACGGCUCACCAAGGCUACGAUCAGUAGCUGGUCUGAGAGGAUGAUCAGCCACACUGGAACUGAGACACGGUCCAGACUCCUACGGGAGGCAGCAGUGGGGAAUUUUGCGCAAUGGACGAAAGUCUGACGCAGCAACGCCGCGUGGGUGAUGAAGGUCUUCGGAUUGUAAAACCCUGUCGUCAGGGACGAAGGUUGGGGCUUUAAUAGAGUUUCAACUUGACGGUACCUGGAGAGGAAGCCCCGGCUAACUCUGUGCC